UACGGAGGGUGCAAGCGUUAAUCGGAAUUACUGGGCGUAAAGCGCACGUAGGUGGUUUGUUAAGUCAGCUGUGAAAUCCCCGGGCUCAACCUGGGCACUGCAGUUGAAACUGGCAAGCUAGAGUAGGGUAGAGGGGUGUGGAAUUCCAGGUGUAGCGGUGAAAUGCGUAGAUAUCUGGAGGAACAUCAGUGGCGAAGGCGACACCCUGGACUCAUACUGACACUGAGGUGCGAAAGCGUGGGGAGCAGACAGG
rnacentral:rRNA from 1 species